rnacentral:rRNA from 1 species
AGAGUUUGAUUCUGGCUCAGAACGAACGCUGGCGGCGCGUCUUAAACAUGCAAGUCGAACGAUCUGUAGCAAUACAGGGAGUGGCGGACGGGUGAGGAACACGUAGGAAUCUACCUCAGAGAGCGGGACAACCUUGGGAAACCGGGGCUAAUACCGCAUAGUACAGAGAUGUUAAAGGGCUAGCAAUAGUCGCUUUGAGAUGAGCCUGCGGUCUAUCAGCUUGUUGGUGAGGUAAUGGCUCACCAAGGCAACGACGGAUAGCCGGUCUGAGAGGAUGAUCGGCCACACUGGCACUGAGACACGGGCCAGACUCCUACGGGAGGCAGCAGUUAAGAAUCUUGCGCAAUGGGGGAAACCCUGACGCAGCGACGCCGCGUGAAGGAUGAAGGCUUUCGGGUUGUAAACUUCGGUAGACUGGGAAGAAGAAAUACGUUCGUUGAGGGCGUAUAGUGACGGUACCAGUCUGAAGCCCCGGCUAAUUACGUGCCAGCAGCCGCGGUAAUACGUAUGGGGCAAGCGUUGUUCGGAAUUAUUGGGCGUAAAGGGCUCGCAGGUGGUUUGUUAAGUUGGGGGUUUAAUCUCUGGGCUCAACCCAGAGUCAGCCUUCAAAACUGGCGAACUUGAGUACGAGAGGGGAUAGCGGAAUUCUCGGUGUAGCGGUGGAAUGCGUAGAUAUCGAGAGGAACACCAAUGGCGAAGGCAGCUAUCUGGAUCGUAACUGACACUCAUGAGCGAAAGUGCGGGGAGCAAACAGGAUUAGAUACCCUGGUAGUCCGCACCGUAAACGUUGUAUACUAGUUGUUGGUGGUUUCAACGCCAUCAGUGACGUCGCUAACGCAUUAAGUAUACCGCCUGGGGAGUAUGCUCGCAAGGGUGAAACUCAAAGAAAUUGACGGGGGCCCGCACAAGCGGUGGAGCAUGUGGUUUAAUUCGAUGCAACGCGAAGAACCUUACCUGGCCUUGACAUGUCUGGAAUCUUGUAGAGAUACGAGAGUGCCUUCGGGAAUCAGAACACAGGUGCUGCAUGGCUGUCGUCAGCUCGUGUCGUGAGAUGUUGGGUUAAGUC